AACGCACCUUGCGCUCCUUGGUAUUCCGAGGAGCAUGCCUGUUUGAGUGUCAUUAAUAUAUCAACCUCUUCAGCUUGUCGAGUGUUGGAUGUGGGGGGUCUUUUUUUGCUGGUUUUUCAGAUCAGCUCCCCUGAAAUGCAUUAGCAGAACAAUUUGUGGAUCGUUCAUUGGUGUGAUAACUAUCUACGCUAUUGACGUGAAGCAGUUUGGCUUCUAAUAGUCUAUUGAAUUGGACAAAUUUUCAUUAAUGUGACCUCAAAUCAGGUAGGACUACCCGCUGAACUUAA
rnacentral:misc_RNA from 1 species